rnacentral:rRNA from 1 species
GACGAACGCUGGCGGCGUGCUUAAUACAUGCAAGUCGAACGGUAAAGACAUGCUCUUGUGCGUUGCUCGUGUGGCGCGAGGGUGUGUAUAACGUGAGUAUCCUGCCCUUGACUUUGGGAUAACAUCAGGAAACUGGGGCUAAUACAGGAUAGGAGCUUCUGCUGCACGGUGGGGGUAGGUAAGUUUCGUCGGUUGGGGACGAACUUGCGGCUUUUCAGCGUGUUGGUGGGGUAGUGGCUUACUAAGGCUUUGACGAGUCGCCGGCCUGAGAGUGUGACCGGCCACAGUGGGACAGGGGAGCGGCCCAGAGUCCUACGGGGGGCAUGAGUGGGAAAUAGAGCGCGCUGGGCGGAGUCCGUGUGCAGCAACGCCGGGUGCGGGAUGACGGCUGUCGGGUUGUAAACCGCUUGCGCCUGGGACGAAGCGUGAGUGACGGUAGUGUGUAAAGAAGCAACGGCUAACUACGUG